rnacentral:rRNA from 1 species
ACCCGCACAAGCAGCGGAGCGUGUGGUUUAAUUCGAUGCUACACGAAGAACCUUACCAGGGUUUGACAUGUAAGUGGUAGUGAUCUGAAAAGUGAACGACCCUUCGGGGAGCUUACACAGGUGCUGCAUGGCUGUCGUCAGCUCGUGUCGUGAGAUGUUCGGUUAAGUCCGCUAACGAGCGCAACCCUCACUGUGUGUUAUACGUGUCACACGGGACUGCCGGUUUUAAGCCGGAGGAAGGCGAGGAUGACGUCAAGUCAGCAUGGCCUUUAUAUCCUGGGCUACACACACGCUACAAUGGUCUGUACAACAGGUUGCCAAACCGCGAGGUGGAGCCAAUCCCUAAAACAGGCCUCAGUUCAGAUUGCAGGCUGCAACCCCGCCUGCAUGAAGCCGGAGUUGCUAGUAACCGCAGGUCCAGCUAUAACUGACGGUGAAUACGUCCCGGGUCUUG